GUUUGUGUGUUUGUUUGUUUGUUUUUUUUCUGAGCUUGAUUGCACUCAUUUUAAUUUCGGUUUAUUUUUUUCUUUACAUUUUUUUACAUUGUUUUUUUUUUCUUUGAUUGUCACAGUGUGCACAUUUUGGUUCUUUGUUCACACACUGCAGCUUUGUGAAUGCAGUGGAUUGGGGUGAUGGUUUUAAGAGGGUAAAACCUGGUGUGAAAACUCUGCCGUAAAGAGGAUGUGUAGUGUACCACCUGCUUGAUAAGUCAGCUUAAAAAUACCUCCUCUACCACUACAGCUUUCCACCCCGCCGCUCACACUUUCACUCGUUUGUUUCUUGUCUUUUACAACCUCCAACACCCUGAUGUGCAUGCCUAGGAAAGCUCGUCAGUGCAUAUUGUUAUCAUUAUUUUGCAAUUGAAGCACACAAUUUAGUUUUCCAGUUUCAUUUAGAAUGAUUUUUCAUUGUUUUUUUUUCAUUUUCAGCUGUAUGGUGAAUGAUUUGUGCUUAACGCAAGAGACUGUGCGGGAACGCAUGGAGUUUGCGCAUUGCACUUUUUACACAUCAAUACAUUGCUGCGAUGGUUUUGACCAUGUGCCUUGUCGCAUUUCAUUGGAGAAUUUUAAGGGAAUUUGAUUUUCGAUUCUCAUUUAGUUUGAUUGUUUUCGAUUGACUUGUCGAUUUUCUUUUUGUUGGUGUUUUGUUAUUGAAUGCAGAAUGCAUGAAUUACUUGUUGUCUGUAAGUUAAGUAUUUGAUUAGCUGCUUAUUUGAACUGCUUAAUAUUUGUGCCAUCAGACUUCCUUUUAAUUUUAUUUUAUUAAAUUCUCUUCUCGUUCAUUUUUGUUGGCUUGAAACAAAUAUCAGUCGCUGUCUUUAAUUAGCUCUUGUAACAAAUACGAUCCUCAAACAGUCAUUACAAUACAGGUGAUAUGAGUUUUUACAAUGAUUACGCUGUGCUGAGGGAGCUGUUGUUAUACCCCACUGUGUGCUGCGGUACAUAGAUAUAUGAUGUUGAAUACCUUAAUUAUUAUGUAUAUCAACUCUUAAACUCAGGAUCAUUCUCAGUAAAACAGUAAGACUUCCAAAUGGUUGGAUUGUCAGGCAGGUUUACAAGCCACAGAGCUGCAAUGAAGUGUGACUUCUUUAACCUCCUGAGACCCAGCCCCUUGACUUAUGUCCACUGUAGUGGACAUUUGAGUUUCAUCCCUCUCCUUGGAAUCUUUUGUGCAAGUCUCUUAAUUCCUGCUGUACUGUACAGAGGACAUCCUGGGCUUUUCAGGGAUAUGUUAUUUGAUUGGCUGGGAGGCCGGGAACCCCCUCAAUCUUUCAAUCCAAAAUGGCCGGCAUAGGAAUAAGCACAUUUUAUGGAAAGAUAAAAGAUUUGCACGUUUAACCUGGGCUUCCAGUGUGUCAAGAUGACCCUACAACACAUGCAGACUGGAGUCCAAUUGAAUAUUUUUGGAUACCAAGCAUGCAGAAAGAUGCAGAAAUAAGGGCUCCAAGAGCAAGACGUACAUGAGAUGUACCAAAUGCAAGAUGUUCCUCUGCAUUACCAAAAAGAGAAAUUGCUUCCUGGACUAUCACAACUAACAAAAACAUACUAAGAAUAAAAUGAAAAGUGAAGGAAAAACUAGAUUGGAUUCAGUUUGACAGAAGGAAAAAAAAUCCCCCUCCAAAAGUUUCACAUUAGUUCUAUGUUCAUUGUUCGAAUAACACUAAAAGGAUUCAAGGGGACCAAUAAAAGGAUACGGACAUAACAAAGUGUUAAGCUCUAAUAGUAAAGAUAUACUUGCAAAAUGUAAGGAAAAGGAUUCAAGAAUGAUAAAUGUUUAUAUAAUCAAAAUGUCUGUAUUGGAUAAUAAUCAAUUUACAGCCCAAAAUGUAUUCUUAGUUAAAAAAAAAAUGUAUAAUCUGGUAAAAUUGUUAUCUACCAAAUGUGUUUGUUUUCGUACUAAAAUGAUCCUGUUGUCCACUACAGUGGACAUGCUGUAAAACAAAAAUAAAAAAUAAAAAUAAAAAUGUCUAAAUUGUAGGAUGUUUUUUAAACCCUAAACAGGUAUGGAAUCACAAAAAAAUAGGAUUAGGAAAAAAAAUAUUUUCCUUGGUUCUCAGGAGGUUAU